AAACACCCCCAGGACCAUGGCCAGGCCUGUGAAUGGGAAGAAAUGGUCAAGAGAGUGUGGGCUGCUAGUCAGGGUCUGAAUUCUGCUUCUACCCCUAGGACCAUGUGACCCUGGACUAGUCACCUCACAGCUUUCCCCCACCAUGAAAGAAGGAGAACAAGAGUGAUGCUUUUCCUUCGUUAAGACCUAGAUUAAAUGGUGUCCUCUGCCAGGUGCCCACGGGCUUCCUCUGGACCCUAUGGUCCCACACGCUCACACCUGCUAUGCACAUGCCACCAAAGCUCCUUCUGAAAACAGCUGUGUGUGCUGCCCCGAGCUCAUGCCCUGGGUCCCCAGGCCUCUGCAGGUGGGAUCUCUGUGCCAACACCAGAUGAGACUGCCACCUGUCCCCCAACAUCUUGCUUAGGGAGGAAGGACAGAUGCCCUCUGGGAUGGCAACUUGUGGUCCCUGCAUCUGAGGGGGACAAAGGCAGGCAGAACUGAGGGUCACCACCAAGACUAUUUUCUCUGGGAAAACCUUUAAAUUCAGGCAUGCAGCAUUUCUGGUUCUACCCAGGAACAGCCCCAAAGCAAGUUCCAAGAUGAUUCCUGUAUCUGCCUUUCUUCUCCCUCUUCCCAGUUGCUCUCUGUUGCUUCCCAAAGCACCUUGCACCCAGAGUAUGGCAGCUGCCAUUGUAUUGAAAUGUAAGGGAAACAGUGAUCGGGGAUUGUAGGAAGCUUUCUGGGUAAUUUCUGUUUCUAAAGAUUGUCAACAAAACAAUAUCUCCCCUGCUCAACUGUCCCAGUUGCUCCCACGAGCAUCAAGAAUGUUUCCUCCCUGCCACCCCACCACCACCACAACCUGUCUCGUGUCAACCCCGUCCAUUCCUCUGAAGGCUGCUGCUGAGUGCUGGGAGUGUCCGGAACAUCUUGGGGAGGAUUUUGAAUUGGGUAAUUUGGGCUCCUCCAAUUUCCUAAGUUCUAUGAUGCCUAAGAUUUUGUUCUAUUGUUUCCUGCUAAAUUGAUGAACAAAUCCCCUCUCCCACCAGCUCUGGGCUUCAUAAGAUGACAGUAGGGACAGGUGCUGAAAGUGCUUCCGUGGAGAGCGAGGGAGGAGACGUGUGACCGCCCCCACCCCACCCUCGAGGGCACGUGCUUACAGAGCUAUGGCAACGCAUGUGUGAGCUCCUCUAAAGCCCCUGGAAAUCAAAUCUGGUGCCGUUGUUGGGUUUGGACCUGGAGUGUGUGCAGCACAGCAGCACAGCUGGCGUUAGGGACAAUCAGGCCAACAAGGUGUCCUACCGUGACCCAGAUGAUGGAGGAAACAGCAUCCCCCAUCCUUCCGUGUGCCUUGUCCCACUGAGCAUGUCCCCCAGGCCAGCUCCUGGUCUCCCCCGUGGCCCUGUGGGGUGCAGGGUCUGCAGAGGGCCUGCGGUGCAUCCAGAGAGUUGGGUGUUCCUUCUCGCGGGAGAGAACAGAGCUGCCGUGGAGCAGCACACAGGAAACUUGGCUGCAUAUGGCUGAAAGAAAAAGAAACCUGCGCAGGCUCGAGUCUGACUCCAGCUCCAGGACCCUGGAAAAGAACUCUGGAGACAGUCAAAGGAUCAGUGGGUGCCCGGGUGGGGGGACAGGGCAGGAACAGGUGGAGCACAGAGGGGUUUUAGGGCUGCCACUCUAUUCUGUCUGAUACUACAGUGGUGGACACGUCAUUAUACAUCUGUCCAAAUCCAGAAGAGGCACAGCCCAGGAGUGGACCUGAGCUUGAAGCACGGAUUGGGGGGUGGAUGAUGGCAGGUAGGGCAGAGUGAAGUCAGCACCUCCUCCAGGGAGCCUUCCCUGACUCUCGCCCUGCCAUGGCCUCCUGCCAAGAAUCUGCAGCCAACCUUGCUUCUCCCCUGGGCCAACUCUCCCCGGACUAAAGGGUGACUGCGGUUUCCUGAUUCUGAACCAGCAAGCCCUUAAGGGCCCUGGGGUGUGUGCCUUAGACCCUUCUGUCCCCUGCUGUAGAGCAUGCGGUAGCGUCCAUGGAACACCCGCUGCGCCCUGCUGAUGAUUGGGUGGGCUUGUACGGGAUGAAGGAUGCCCAGUGCCAGGCACAUUGAUGUGCUCAGCUGUGGUCCGCCGCUGCUGCCGCCGUGCCCAACCCUGGUAACAGAGCCCAGGGACCUGAGCUGCCAUCAGGACACAUGACCAGACCCCACGCUGUGUGCUUUACUCCCUCCCCGCCUUGUCCAGGAUGGCAGGCUGAGCCCCCUUCCCAGGGGCCAGCUGGGCAGCAGAGCCCUCACCUGGCCCUGCCUGGGGGUCUCCUGGGCUUCCAGGAGGUCUCUGAAUGGCGGUCCUCCCCACAAGGGGCAUCUUCCUUCUCAAAGUUGCCUCUGUCUCCUGGAUGCUCCCUUUUGGCAUGUGAAACUUCCCGUUUACUUGGUGACUCAUCCAAGAGGCAUUAAGUGGCUGUCACUCUCUUCCUUCAGAGCUUCCCGUGGCUGCCAGCAUUCCUCAGCCUGCACGCCAGGCCAAGGCCAGCACCCUCAGCUCUCCCUCUGCUCAGUCUCCACGUGGCCUGCUCUCCUGCCUCUUUCCUAUAAGGAUGAUGUAACUACAUUAAGGACCUCCUGGAUACCGGGAUGACAGCCCCUUCUCAAGAUCCUCAGCUUAAUCUCACACCUGCAAAAAUCUUUUUUCCAAAUAAAAUCACAUUUGCGGGUUCCCAGAGCUAGGGCAUUAUUUGGCCUAGUACACCAAUGGUCCACAAAGGCCCCAGCUCUGCUCUCUUCAGAAGAUAACUCACCGGGCCUGUCUCCAUUUUUCUGUGGAAGCUUGGCGUAGCCCAAUGUCUGGAACUGGCAAGAGGUCAGUUGAGUAAGUGGAAGUGAGUUUUAAAUAGAAACUGACAAGGAAGUGGGUCAAGGUCAUGAACGCAGAUUCUUAAAGUUGUGGGAAGAAAUCAGAAUGAGGUUAGGAGAGGCAUAUUUGGAGGUCACACUAAAGAGUCCUAGAAGCAAGAAAGAGCUUGCACGAGGGCAGUGCAUCCGUGAUGCAUUCAUUCAUUUAUUCAUUUGAUGACCAACAGAGGAGAACAGGGAGGGCUGGGCCGGCGGGGAGCGAGGGCAGGCCUGGAGAGAUGGCACUCAACGGCCAGUCUUUCUCCCACCAGAGCUGAGCUUCAGUAAGUCCUCCUGUAUUUUCACCAGUCAUUGCUUUAAGUAUUUAGCUGCUAGAGUUUCCGGCACGUUGAGAUUUAUGAUGAUUAAAUCUUUGUGGUCUGUGCCUCGGACUGUUACAUAAUACUCUUUGUUCCUGUGAAUUUGCUCUGCCUCUGGGUCUUCCUUAUCCAAUAUCAGUUUGCCAUUCUUGUUGCUUUUCUUUUUUUUUUUAAUUCCACUUUUCCAAUGUCCACUUGGAACCUCCACUUGCCAACAUUUUUGGUGUGUUUCCUGUAAACAGCACCUAGCUGGUUUUGAGUGUUUCACACUGUCUUACGACGUUUGCUGGGAAAUUCAGCCCAUACCCAUUUAUUAUGAAAGCUGAUCUCUACAGUUAUUAAUUUCUUCUCACUUUAUGUUUCCUUUUGCUAAACUGUAUUGUUAUCCUGCUAUUUCCUCUCUUUUACCCCUUCCUUAAUUUUGGGUCUGUGAACCAAAGUUAUCCAUAAAAGUAACGUUUGUGUUUGGGAA